GAAGGGUGCAAGCGUUACUCGGAAUUACUGGGCGUAAAGCGUGCGUAGGUGGUUUGUUAAGUCUGAUGUGAAAGCCCUGGGCUCAACCUGGGAAUUGCAUUGGAUACUGGCAGGCUAGAGUGCGGUAGAGGAUGGCGGAAUUCCCGGUGUAGCAGUGAAAUGCGUAGAGAUCGGGAGGAACAUCUGUGGCGAAGGCGGCCAUCUGGACCAGCACUGACACUGAGGCACGAAAGCGUGGGGAGCAAACAGGAUUAGAUACCCUGGUAGUCCACGCCCUAAACGAUGCGAACUGGAUGUUGGGAGCAACUAGGCUCUCAGUAUCGAAGCUAACGCGUUAAGUUCGCCGCCUGGGGAGUACGGUCGCAAGAUUA
rnacentral:rRNA from 1 species